rnacentral:rRNA from 1 species
UUUCGCAAUGCCCGAAAGGGUGACUAUGCGACGCCGCGUGAGCGAUGAAGAUCUUCGGAUUGUAAAGCUCUGUCAGGUGGGAGGAAUACUCCGCUUUAAAUAGAAGCGGAGCUUGACAGUACCACCAGAGGAAGCCACGGCUAACUCCGUGCCAGCAGCCGCGGUAAUACGGAGGUGGCGAGCGUUGUUCGGAUUUAUUGGGUGUAAAGGGCAUGUAGGUGUCUUAGUAAGUUCUGAUUGAAAUCCUCCGGCUCAACCGGAGAACGUGUCAGAAUACUGCUGGGAUUGAGUACGGAAGAGGAGAACGGAAUUCUCGGUGUAAGGGUGAAAUCUGUAGAUAUCGAGAGGAACACCAGUGGCUAAAGCGGUUCUCUGGUCCGUCACUGACACUGAAAUGCGAAAGCUAGGGGAGCAAACAGGAUUAGAUACCUUGGUAGUCCUAGCCGUAAACGAUGGGCACUAAGUAGAGGGGUUUU